rnacentral:rRNA from 1 species
AGUGAACGCUGGCGGUAGGCCUAACACAUGCAAGUCGAACGGCAGCACAGUAAGAGCUUGCUCUUACGGGUGGCGAGUGGCGGACGGGUGAGGAAUACAUCGGAAUCUACUUUUUCGUGGGGGAUAACGUAGGGAAACUUACGCUAAUACCGCAUACGACCUACGGGUGAAAGCAGGGGAUCUUCGGACCUUGCGCGAUUGAAUGAGCCGAUGUCGGAUUAGCUAGUUGGCGGGGUAAAGGCCCACCAAGGCGACGAUCCGUAGCUGGUCUGAGAGGAUGAUCAGCGACAUUGGAACUGAGACACGGUCCAGACUCCUACGGGAGGCAGCAGAGGGGAAUAUUGGACAAUGGGCGCAAGCCUGAUCCAGCCAUACCGCGUGGGUGAAGAAGGCCUUCGGGUUGUAAAGCCCUUUUGUUGGGAAAGAAAAGCAGCAGGUUAAUACCCCGCUGUUCUGACGGUACCCAAAGAAUAAGCACCGGCUAACUUCGUG